rnacentral:lncRNA from 1 species
GACCCUGCCACUGAGGGAAGGGAAGGAAGAAAUGAAGGGAAGAAAGAGAGAAGGGAGGAAGAUAUGAAAGAUAAAAAGAAGAACGAAGAAAAGGAGAGGAAAGAGGAAGGGAAACAGGAAGGGCAAAAGAGCAGAAAGAGAAGAGCUGGAAGAGAAAUUGUAAAAAUAGGAAAAGACUGAAGGAAAGGAAGGAACAGAAGAGAGAAGGAAUAUGACCACCAGGCUCACCC